GUGUUUAUAGUAUAAUUCUUAAUACACUUGCUUUUCACGCAAAAAAUACAUACACCCCUUGUUAAACACA
rnacentral:tRNA from 1 species